rnacentral:tRNA from 6 species
GCCCACGUAGCUCAGUAGGAUAGAGCAUGCGCCUUCUAAGCGUAGGGUCGUGAGUUCGAAUCUCUCCGUGGGCGCCA